rnacentral:rRNA from 1 species
UGGGGAAUAUUGCACAAUGGAGGGAACUCUGAUGCAGCGACGCCGCGUGAACGAAGAAGUCUUUCGAGUCGUAAAGUUCUUUUAUAUGGGAAGAUAAUGACGGUACCAUAUGAAAAAUCCCCGGCUAACUACGUGCCAGCAGCCGCGGUAAUACGUAGGGGGCUAGCGUUGUCCGGAAUCACUGGGCGUAAAGGGUUCGCAGGCGGGAAUGCAAGUCAGGUGUAAAAGGCAGUAGCUUAACUACUGUAAGCAUUUGAAACUGCAUAUCUUGAGUAGAGUAGAGGUAAGUGGAAUUUUUAGUGUAGCGGUGAAAUGCAUAGAUAUUAAAAAGAAUACCGGUGGCGAAGGCGACUUACUGGGCUCAUUCUGACGCUGAGGAACGAAAGCGUGGGUAGCAAACAAG